rnacentral:rRNA from 1 species
GGACAAAAUGACAGGUGGUGCAUGGUUGUCGUCAGCUCGUGUCGUGAGAUGUUGGGUUAAGUCCCGCAACGAGCGCAACCCUUAUUGUUAGUUGCCAGCAUUAAGUUGGGCACUCUAGCAAGACUGCCGGUGACAAACCGGAGGAAGGUGGGGAUGACGUCAAAUCAUCAUGCCCCUUAUGAUCUGGGCUACACACGUGCUACAAUGGACGGUACAACGAGUCGCAAGACCGCGAGGUUUAGCAAAUCUCUUAAAGCCGUUCUCAGUUCGGAUUGUAGGCUGCAACUCGCCUACAUGAAGUCGGAAUCGCUAGUAAUCGCGGAUCAGCAUGCCGCGGUAAAUACGUUCCCGGGCCUUGUACACACCGCCCGUCACACCAUGAGAGUUUGUAACACCCAAAGCCGGUGGGGUAACCUUUUGGAGCCAGCCGUCUAAGGUGGGACAGAUGAUUAGGGUGAAGUCGUAACAAGGUAGCCGUAGGAGAACCUGCGGCUGGAUCACCUCCUU